rnacentral:lncRNA from 1 species
AUCAGUGGUUUAACUGGGUUCCGCUCUUUCUCCAGGGCUGCUCUGCCCUGUUGUCAGACGCUGAGGCCAGCUAAUCCUCCUCUGCGCCCAGCCCGGCUGUCCCGCCGCCGCCGCACCCACACCUUCCCCAGGGGAGGCACCUGCUGGCGCCCAGGGCCUUCGAGGUGCCUCACUGGUGGGGGGCUCAGGGGUGCUGGCCAGACCCACCUCUUCCUCCUCGGAGCCCUUCAAGCUCGGACAGGAAGGCUGAGAGUGCGCACACCUGCCAGACGUGAGCCUGGUGGGACGCCAGAUUUCUCCCCUGGUGCAUGUGCUGCGGAGCUUUCAUCCAUCCAUCGAGGCCUCGGGCCCUUCUCUGAGGCAGCUCUGAAGCCCGGCCUGGUGGAGCACCUACCGUCUGCGGCCCUGGACACCCACAGAGGCACUCAGUGCCACUGGCUGACACCUGUGUAGGCAGAGGGGCCGGUGCCGCUCCUGAGGUGGGAGUCUGGUGGUCCAUGCCCCUGGGAGCAGAUCAGAGUCAGACCACUCUGUCCCCAUGCACACCGUCCUCUGACAUCACCAUCCCGCUCAGGACCCACUCGUGAGGCUGCGGGCAGCCCUCUCCUGCAUCUCUGCAGGUAGCUGAGAUGUGCUGGCCUCUCCUUCCUGGCUGCGCGUCACCCCCAGUGGCCUUUGGGACCAGUCACUGUCUCCACGGGCCCAUCCUGUGGCCCUGAGGCAGAUGGAGGAGGGAACAGGUGGGGGACCCUGAGGUCAGAUGCCACCCUCACUGCCCGAGGCCUCGCGGUCUGUCCCCACUCUGGGACUUCUUGCCUCCACGCUCUAUCGGUGGACAUUACAUAUUUACUAACACCUGUGUGCACAUAAGGCACACAAAUACAUAAAUUGUGUACAUUCAUUAUUUAACCCUCUGUUUUCCAAACUCGUCUGAGACUUUUCUUUCCUGUGACUGAAGGUCUGUUAGUGUUUCCUCAGCCAAAGAUCAUUCUCCUUCCUAGAAAUCUCUCCUCUGCUCUUGUCCGUUCCACACACCUCGCUCUCACAAACCACACGGAAACGGUGACAUUCAGCUUUCUCUUAAUUGGGUUUUUGGUGUUUCUUUCAAACAUCAAAGGAGUCCCGGUGAUUCUGAGCAGUUAGAUCUGACCAGAGUCAGA